rnacentral:rRNA from 1 species
CCUACGGGUGGCUGCAGUGGGGAAUAUUGCACAAUGGGCGCAAGCCUGAUGCAGCCAUGCCGCGUGUGUGAAGAAGGCCUUCGGGUUGUAAAGCACUUUCAGCGGGGAGGGAGGCGUUAAGGUUAAUAACCUCGGCGAUUGACGUUACCCGCAGAAGAAGCACCGGCUAACUCCGUGCCAGCAGCCGCGGUAAUACGGAGGGUGCAAGCGUUAAUCGGAAUUACUGGGCGUAAAGCGCACGCAGGCGGUCUGUCAAGUCGGAUGUGAAAUCCCCGGGCUCAACCUGGGAACUGCAUUCGAAACUGGCAGGCUAGAGUCUUGUAGAGGGGGGUAGAAUUCCAGGUGUAGCGGUGAAAUGCGUAGAGAUCUGGAGGAAUACCGGUGGCGAAGGCGGCCCCCUGGACAAAGACUGACGCUCAGGUGCGAAAGCGUGGGGAGCAAACAGGAUUAGAUACCCGGGUAGUC